UCAGGAUUAACGCUGGCGGCGUGCCUAAUACAUGCAAGUCGGAUGGUUAGCUUGCUAACCAUGGCGAACGGGUGAGUAACACGUAGGUAACCUGUCUUAAAGACGAGGAUAACCAUUGGAAACGAUGGAUAAUACUGGAUAGGAUAUAUAAGGGCAUCCUGAUAUAUUUAAAGAUUUAUCACUUUAUGAGGGGCCUGCGGCGCAUUAGUUAGAUGGCGGUGUAAAGGACCACCAUGACGAUGAUGCGUAGCCGGACUGAGAGGUUGAACGGCCACAAUGGGACUGAGAACGGCCCAUACUCCUACGGGAGGCAGCAGUAGGGAAUUUUCGGCAAUGGACGGAAGUCUGAACCCGAGCAACGCCGCGUGAACGAAGAAGUAUUUCGGUAUGUAAAGUUCUUUUAUUUGGGAAGAAAAGAUAAGAUUGACUGUACCAAAUGAAUAAGCUCCGGCUAACUACGUGCCAGCCGCAGC
rnacentral:rRNA from 1 species